AGUUAUAAACACAUUGUACACAACAACCAUGUCAUUAAUAAUCACUUCUGUCACCUAUUAUGUGUUUCCAUGUUAAGAGGCAAUGAAUCACUACAUUUGUAUGACUUGAGUUUUAUUCUUCUUUUUUGCCCCUCUGUUUUGCAUUUUGAUAACUCAAAAAAAUAAAAAUGGCAAGCACUGGAUUGGGUCAUUGCAGAAGUGCGGGGAUAUGGCAUCAGGUUAAUUUUUAGCAUAGUCAACAACCUGCAACCAUUUGGUGGGAAGACUUGGUAUGUCAUGUGGGCAUUGGAUGAUGGCAUUGGUUUGAGUUAUUCUAACGACUCGUUCUCCUUCGAUCUGUCCAUUCGCUAGUAUUUCAAAACUUACCUGAAGUUAGAGUUCUACUUCCAAUCUGCAUUCAAUUUGUUCUAAAUAGAAAGUUUCUUAGCAGUCGUAUACUCAUUAUUGGGAGUAGUUUCAUUAUGAAAAUAUAGGACAUUUUAAUUAUAUUCCUUAGGCUACAUUUGGAUGCACUAUUUGAUCAUAUCUAAAUCUCAUGUUGAGAGUAAACAACUUCUUUUCCUUUGUUUCACCUCUUACCAAACAUGCUCCAAGUGUGAAUGGGGUCAAAAUUCCAAAGGGUUUGGUUAGAAUCUUCCAAAUAUGGACCCAUUGUUUGAUGACUUAGAUAGAGGUACAUGUAUGCCAGUGCACAGAGUAUGUUCAUGUGAAUUAUCUGCUUUAUCUCCUUGAUUCUGCCUUCUUGACUCUGCUAUGGAUCAUGUAAACUCUUUUCUUUCAGCAUGAAUAGAAAAGUGAAGACAGAAAAAGAAAAAGUGCAACAAUCCAUCAAAGUUCUAAAAGCAUUAUGAUCUUCCAAUGUGGAAGGUUCCUUGGCUUGACUCUGGUGCCCACCAGAUCAACGGCAUGGAUCACUGAAUGAUGGGCCUUGUACAUAAUUCAGGACCUAAGGCUUCCUCUUCAUAUUUUUGAAUAAUGAAAUUGAUUGUAUAUUUUCUUUUGUGUUUAAUUAUACUUGAGUAAGCCAUAUGAAGACUUGAUUGAGUCUUCGAGCUAACCCAACUCAGCUGAACUGUCGUGUUGAGUUGCAUUGUCGAGUUUCAGAACUAUGCAUAAACCUGAAAGCCUGAAAAUCAUUCUUGUUCCCUGCCCUUGAAUCUGAAUUUACUUCAUAGUUGACAAUAGUCUGGUAACUAAUAGAAGGCCCCAAACAUGAAAGAAUUUACUUCAUUAGAGGAUUAUGCCUGGAUCCUUGUCUAGUAGUUGCAGUUGUGAAAAAACUUGAACUAUCAAUAAAUAAAAAUUCAGAUCAUACAAGCUUUCUAAAGUCAAUGACCUUUGAUGUGCAUUAGAUCUGCCAUCACUAUACAUAUUGUGUUAAGCUGUCAAUUGUGCCCUUUCUUUUUCAUCUUUCUAUUCUAUGUUAUUCAAUUCACUGAUUCAAUUGUGCCCUUUCUUUUAUUCCACCUGGUUCAAAUAGUCGAGCCCACCUGAGUUCUAAACUUGCUUGAUUUUUGGUCCUUGUCCAAACACAGGGUACUGCACCUAAUAGAUCUUAAAAUUCAGUCCAAUCCAACACUUAGGAUGGCAUGUCAGAUGGCUGGAUUGGAUGGUAUAUGCACCGCACAAGAGACCCCACACACAAUUUGGAUGAUUGUGUGUGUGCGUAAAGAUUACUUAGGAAAGGUGGGUUUGGUUGGUAUUUGGUGUUGGUUACCUGCUUUAGUUUUGGAAUGGACUGAUCAUUUGGGUUUCCUAUGGUGGAUUCCAUCUUAUGAAUGGACUGGAUGGUAUAUAUAUAUAAAAAAAUGAGGUGGGCCCCAGAUACGAUAUAGAAGGUUUUAAUGGUGGAUGUCACAUCUCAACUAUUUCCCGUGGGGUGACCCACCUAUGUUUUGGAUCAAGAUAAUUUUGAGGAUAUGUGGAUAUUGAAGCAGCUGUGUUUUGGAUCAAGAUCAUUUUGGGGAUAUGAUUGAAGUAGCUUGGCAUUUGUAUAUAUACCCAUCAACUUUGAGGGUGACAAUUCCUCUUCUUCAAUUGCCAAGCUGAGCAUUUUUCUAUAGUGUUACUGUGUAUGGACAUUAUGCAUUUAUAAUUGUUCAACUUUUCUGUUAUUUUUUCAGGGCAGGAAGGGAAUCUGUAUCUAUUACUACUGAGAUUGUGAAGCAAGGUACUUUUGAGUUGAUCCAACAUACAUAGAAUUGCUUGUGUAGGCUUUGGAUAAUUUGUCAUUGAAACGCAAUUGAAAUGAAAUUUAGUUUUUAAAGAUGUAAAAAUAUUUGUCCUAUCACUGAUAGAUUUAAGUCUUGUUCUUGGGCAAUUACCUUGGGAAAAUCUAUUCUUCUUUCAGCUUAUCAUCUUACUCUUACUCCCAGCAGUAACAUGUAUCAGGCACUUUCAUGAUGCUUGUUUUGCUUGAGUGUUCCUUUGUGCUUGUCAUAUCACUAAGAGAAUGAGAUCCCUUUUUUGAUCCAUUACCUUGGAAAGUCACUAAUUCAUGCCCUUGGUAAGGCCACGUUAUUUUUCUUGAGCAUUCAUCUAAGAUUUGGUUUCCUAAAACUACUGGUUUUUCAAGUUUCUUUAGUUGCAAGGGACAUAACAGAAGAUUUCCAUGGAGCAUCCAAAUGCUAGACCUCUCAAGUUCCGUGCUUUUAAGAAGAGAGUUCCAUGCACCCAAACAACUCCUUGCAAAGCAACAAAUCAUAUUUUUCUCCACCUAUUCACAUUAUGGUUAUUUGUUGUUUCAAAUUUAUCUGUAUCCAAAUUUCAGUCUCUCCAAAAGUAACUCAUCUUAAGAUAAUUGGAGACCUGAGGGAAGGGAAUAAGGUCAUUGUAGAUGCUACGGUCACUGGGGGAACUGAAGGAUCUAGCCGAGUUUAGUGGUUUAAAACAAGUUCUUCAUAAUUGGAAGCUGAGAAUGAUCUUGAAGCUGUAAGCACAUCCAAAUUUGUGAAGGGAUCUUACAAAUCAAGGCUUGAAAGGUUAUAUAAGCGAUCAGAUAAGUCUUCUAACGAACUUGGUAUGGCUGUAAGUAUCUACUUACUUUAUGUCAUACACCUUUUUGUGGUUA